rnacentral:rRNA from 2 species
CAACUUUCAGCAACGGAUCUCUUGGCUCUCGCAUCGAUGAAGAACGCAGCGAAAUGCGAUAAGUAAUGUGAAUUGCAGAAUUCAGUGAAUCAUUGAAUCUUUGAACGCACCUUGCGCUCCUUGGUAUUCCGAGGAGCAUGCCUGUUUGAGUGUCAUG